rnacentral:rRNA from 1 species
AACGAACGCUGGCGGCGCGCCUAAUACAUGCAAGUCGAGCGAGAAGACGUAGCAAUACGUUUGUAAAGCGGCGAACGGGUGAGGAAUACAUGGGUAACCUACCCUCGAGUGGGGAAUAACUAGCCGAAAGGUUAGCUAAUACCGCGUACGCUUCUUGGACUUCGGUUCAGGGAGGAAAGCGAUACCGUGGGUAUCGCGCUCUUGGAUGGGCUCAUGUCCUAUCAGCUUGUUGGUGAGGUAACGGCUCACCAAGGCUUCGACGGGUAGCUGGUCUGAGAGGACGAUCAGCCACACUGGCACUGCGACACGGGCCAGACUCCUACGGGAGGCAGCAGUAAGGAAUAUUGCGCAAUGGGCGAAAGCCUGACGCAGCGACGCCGCGUGGGGGAUGAAGGUCUUCGGAUUGUAAACCCCUUUCGGGAGGGAAGAUGAAACGAGCAAUCGUUCGGACGGUACCUCCAGAAGCAGCCACGGCUAACUUCGUGCCAGCCGCCGCGGUAAGAC